rnacentral:lncRNA from 1 species
GGGUAUGUUUGUUGCUGUGUAUCUUUCAGAAUUAUGGGGGCUAAUUAGGUUAUUGAUUGAUUAUAUAAUUAUGUAUCUUCCAUUGAUUUGUUAUUUAGCUAUAUAAAUGGUUUAGAUUGACUAUAUAUUGGUCCAUUUGGUUUUAGCUAGGUUGGAUUAGCCUCUUGUCCACUAUGAGGUGUUAUGGUGGUUACCAAUGUUGUAUCUUCGGUUGGUUGGCUUCCAUAAUGAACCCUUGUAGUGG